GUUUAAAACAACAACAAGUACUGAGUAACCUUAAAUGAACUUGGGAGAAACAAUUUAUAAAUAGAUAAUGAGACAAAUGACAGGUGAAAUAGACAUCUUUUUUUAUUUUUAAUCAGAAAUUUACUGCAGGGCAUAGAUAAGGAAACAUUUUAAAAUGUGUACAUAUAAAUAGACAACUUGGAUUAUCUUCUGGAAGUGUUAAGGAUGGACUGAUGUUUCUUUAUAUAAAAAAUCUUCCAGACUUCAUUGUUUAACAGAAGAUAAAUAUCCAAGAUGUUACACACAAGAUCUAUGAGGUAAUUCUGACAAACCUGAAAAAGAAGUAUCAUACACAUUAUAACCUCACAGUUUCACAAACCACAAUGGGAAGAAAUUUCAUGUGACAUUUCACUUGUCUUAUGUAAAAAGUUAGAUUUAGCAAAGAACACUAAGUAUUGUUAAGACUGGAUGGUCAUUUACAAGUGUACAGUACAUAUUUUCAAAUACCUCGCUAAUUAGGAAUUAUAUAUGAUUCAUACCUGUUAUAAAUUGUUACCUACCUCAAUUUUUGAAACAGUUUAUGCUGUAUUGUAAUUUAGCUGUUAAAAUGUUUGUGCAGUUGUAUAUUUAUUAUUAUAAAUGCUCAUCACCUGAACCAUAUGUAAGAAAAAACACAAGCACCACUAUUUCAAUAAUUAUCUCCUCUAAAAUUUCUUUUUAAAAAGUUACUUUUUACUAAAACUUCUUUUUCUUGCAUAGCAGACUGGCGUUUCCGUGAGUUUUACCCAUGCCGGAAAUUUCAUCUGGCAUGGGGGUGCCAGAUAAGUCGCGUGCCAAACAACGUCAUUUUAGCGCACUUUAUAAAUGAACCGCGUUAAAAUGACGUCGUUUUAGAAGGGAAAUAUGUGCUUAGGAUGACGUCAUUUCGCCGUUGUUAUUUAAGUUGUAAGUUCAUACGCUAUUGUAAGAAAAUAGUUAUGGAUGAAAUGACUUUAAUUUCCAUGAACAUAUAUCAUAUUGAGGUAAAUCAUUUAAGAUAUGAAAUAAUAUGGCAGAAUAUGCAAGAAAAAAUAUCUAACAUAUGUUUGCGGUUCGGACCGGAAUAUCCGUCCCUCAGGAACCCGCCCAAUGGGCGGGUCCCCUCGGGACGGAUAUUCCGGUCUGAACCGCAACAUAUGACAGAUAUUAUUAUUCUUGCAUAGCAGACUGGCGUUUCCGUGAGUUUUACCCAUACCGGAAAUUAUCUGGCAUGGGGGUGCCAGAUAAGUCGCAUGCCAAACAACAACGUCAUUUUAGCGCACUUUAUGAAUAAACCGCGUUAAAAUGACGUUGUUUUAGAAGGGAAAUAUGUGCUUAGGAUGACGUCAUUUUGCCGUUGUUAUUUAAGUUGUAAGUUCAUAUGCUAUUGUAAGAAAAUAGUUAUGGAUGAAAUGACUAAUUUCCAUGAACAUAUAUCAUAUUGGUGUAAAUAUGAAAUAAUAUGUCAGAAUAUGCAAGAAAAAAUAUCUGACAUAUGUUUGCGGUUCGAAACGGAAUAUCCGUCCCUCAGGAACCCGCCAAUGGGCGGUAACUCGGCAAGGCUCGUUACCACCCAAUGGGCGGGUCCCCUGGGGACGGAUAUUCCGGUCCGAACCGCAACAUAUGACAGAUAUUAUUAUUGUGUCACCUCUGAAGAGUAAGUGGCCACAUAUAGGAAUCAUCGGCUUUUGAACGGUUCGAUGGUUUUCGUCGCAGUUAUAGCCCUUUAAUGAUUUGUAUGCUCCUUAAAGGGUGGCCAUAUAGUCGCCGCUUCGUCCAUCCGCUUUUCCUGUCCGGCACAUAUAUCUGAUAUAACAAGAGGUAUCGCCAUGAGAAUUUGUAGGUCGAUAAAUCUCUUUGGGUAUAUGUGCAGUGCACAAGAACCGUAACUUUGCCUUGCCUAAUUUUUGAGUUAUUGCCCUUUGUUCAUUUUUACACUUUGAAUUUUGUCCGAAACAUAAAAAUUUAUUAAAAAAAUAAUAACAGGUAUCAACAUGAAACUUUGUAGGUAGAUAAA